CACCACACCUUGAGUCUACCUCUAACAUCCGUUUUAGAGGUUCACGACACAACCCAAUCCAUAAUUCUUUCGCCACAAAAUCACAAGUCCUCGUCUCUCACGAGCCUUAGCCUCUACGGUUUCACUAUCCUAGGGUCUCCUAGGUCCGUCUAAACCAUUUUCCCAUUUUCUACUUUAUGCUCAGGCACCACUUCCUGUCACGACCCGCGACCACCCGCCUAUUUGGCCGGGGUCGCGGCGCCGACAACAGCGCCGAACGGACCGGGGAUUCCCCUGUACCUCGGACAGAGUCUCCCCUGUACGUUCAAGGCAUCGCAAUCAAUACAAUACAAAGGUUCCAACUAGGAACCGAUAUCAAUCCAGAUUGCAUAGUGGAACGUAUCAACAACAUAACACAUCCUAAAUUAUUACACGCAUCCACAUUCUUACACUUUUACAUUACCAUUCUCAUUUACAUUAAACUUCCAAAUACAAUCUUCGCUAUUACAGUUUUAUUUACAAUUUUGAUACAUUGGAUCUUUUCAUCUCUAUACCCCUAAGCUAUGUCGACGGGGUACUUCUAUCUCUGGUCUUUGGAGUAGGACACUAUCUACAGAGCUACGCCCUCGCCUCGCGCCGCCGCGCCGCUCACGUGCGAACCUGUAACACCCCAAAGCAACGUGGGGUGAGAACCAACUCCAUGGUUCCCAGUGGGUACGGCCACCCAAGGGAAAAGCUCAACCAACAUGUUUAAAGGAGGCAAACUGCAGGUUAGUUUAAUAAACAGAUCGAUAUAUAUCUUUAUUAUGCAACCACGAUACCAUGCUUUGCCUCACAAAUGCAACAAUGCUAUACUGUAUACAAUUCAUGCAAGAAUGCAAUUACCACUAGUAGAUCACCCGAUGCUACUUUCUAUCGCAUCACACUACCCUCUAAAGUUUACAUCUACCUUAUUCACUAGGCUAACCUGCCUAAGAUCUCAAUCUCACAGGUGAGGAUCAGCUCACUCACCCAACUCACAAUCUAAUCUCAACGGGGAGGAUCCGCUCACUCGCCCGACUCACAAUCUAAUCUCAACGGGGAGGAUCUGCUCACUCGCCCGACUCACAAUCUAAACACUUCGGGGAGGAUCCGCUCACUCGCCUAACUCACAUUCUAAACACUUCGGGGAGGAUCCGCUCCCUCGCCCGACUCACAUUCUAAACACUUCGGGGAGGAUCCGCUCACUCGCCGGACUCACACAAAUAUCACAACCCAAUCUGAAUCUCACAGGUGAGGAUCAGCUCACUCACCUGACUCACAAAGGGAGGAUCAGCUCACUCGCCCAAGACUAUCUGCGGGACCCUAACGGCUAUCCCUCGGGACCCAAACGGCUAUCCCUAUCGUGUGACAACUCCGGAGUGCACUGCUUGUGUGGAGCGACCACCCCAAGCUUCGAACAGACAUAUGAGUAUGAUCAAAUCCCCGUCACUGAGGAUACCCUACCACUCUAGACAACAUCUCUCGGGAACUAGUUCAUCCCUAAGUUCAAUGCCAUAACUGUCAACUUUACACUAUGUUUAAUGCCACACACCUAGGUCUAAUCAACUCUAGGUUCAACACCCUUAUCACAUAACCUAGGUUUAACUAACUCUAGGUUCAAUCCCAACCUAUGUUCUUUAAACUAGGUCCAAUGUCAUUCUACCUAGAUCUUGAUUCUAGGUUCACUUGUUCAACCUAUGUUCGCGACACUAGGUUCAACACAACCUAUGUUAUAUAACACUAAGUACAAUGCCACUCGAUCUAUUCGACACCUAAUUGUCCACAUCGAGUUUGUAGCCACAUAUUCUCAGUACAAUGCCACUCGAUCUAUUCGACACCUAAUUGUCCACAUCGAGUUUGUAGCCACAUAUUCUCAGUACAAUGCCACUCGAUCUAUUCGACACCUAAUUGUCCACAUCGAGUUUGUAGCCACAUAUUCUCAUACACAUGCCUACAAUGUCAUCGUAUAUGUUCUUUCUAAUAUGAUCUACAACAUGUCAUCAUUUACUUACAUGCUCUAUUGCACAUCAGCAUGAAACUAGCACUAGCAUAUAUUUUCAUAAUGUUAAUAUGCCAUACUAACUAGCAUGUAUUUACAUACCAUUAUGCAUUUUAUCCAACAUGAUCUCAUAAUGCUAAUUGCACCUAGCAUUUAUCCCACUAUGCAUAUAUAUACUACACGCAAUCAUGCAUUUCAUUAAGCAUUUCUAAUCUAUGCCAUUAUAAUUUACCAUCUAGCAUGUAUUUUCAAUGCAUCUAUAUGCAAGCAUCAACUAGCAUAACUCUCACAAUGCUAAUAUGCUUAUACAUAUGCAUCAACCAUAACUCAUAGUCUACUUUGACAUGCAGGCGACCUAGUUGCUUCGGUAAGCACAACCCACCUGUCAUCGCGUUCCGAUUGCUCGUAGCCACUUGCAAUCGGCCGCCCGCGACACGCGCUGUCCGACUCGGCCCGAUAUUGCAACCGCGCCUCAACUGUGUUCCACUUCGCAGCCCCGGAAAUUAUAGGUCUUCGGUUUGAUGCCACGAUGCCACAAAUCCAUUUCCACGACUUUACGACGUUGCCUCGGCCCUCCAGGCGGAAACGAAGCUAAAUCGUCAGUUUCUUCAAUAUCUUUGCACCGGCUCGACGAAUCGACGAACCGUCGCUUCCUAUGCGUUCGGACACCUAGCAAUUAGGUUUACAGAGGGUCAAAAGAGAUCAAACCCUCAUAUUUCCAAAAACCUCAUUUCGGAGCCCUAGUUUGCAACUACGGCAAAAAUCACCAAAUCCCUUCAUGAAUCAAGCGUCAUUCAUCUAGAUAGCAAGCUAGGAUUCCUCUAAAUCCAUUCAUAGGGUGUUUAAACCAAACCCUACAAAUCUACCAUUGAUGAGCAAGGAGCUUACCUCCAAAGGCUCUCCAAAAGCAAUGGAAGAAGAAGAUGAUGAUGGUGAUCCUUCCAAGCUUCUUCUCCAACUCCUUUCUCUUCUUCUUCUCCUUCCUCUUCUUUUUCUUCUCUUUCUUUUCUCUCUAGAGAGAGAGAGGGACACGUUUGGGGGUUAAAUGGGUGAGGGAGAAGAGAGAAGGACCUAAUUCCCCUUCUAUACACUCUCAUAAGUGCAAAAUUGCACAAAAGACCCUCAACUUUCACUUAGUGCACUGCCCCCUUGCGGGGGCAUUUUUUGUAUAGAGGACCGGUCCUUGGACUUGAGGGACUGGUCCCCGAAAGUCCAGAAUCUCAGCAUUUUAGGACUUAGCCAAAUUUUCAGCUUUUUCACCGUUUCUUCUCCGUUUUCGCUCGUUUUUGCUUAUUUGACCUCCGAUUCUUUUCAAAUCGAGCCGAGAUUCCUCAAACAUGUUUUCGAGCAUGUUUUCAUCAUCUUUUCAUCCAUGCUAAUGCAGGAUUUAGCUCAUGACCCAACAUAGCCUUUCCGGUUCCGUUUCCGCGCCUACGCGCACUGAAUCGCCCGAAUGCUCCCGAACUUCACCGAACUUCUCCGGAACCUUUCAAAUGGCUCUCCAAUCAAAUGUACACCGUAACUUCAUGAUUUUAGAAGUCCGGUACCUUACAAUUGCUAUCUCGGUCUCAGUGGUAGGGCGCUAUCUAUGGAGCUACUCCCUUUCCUCGCGCCGCCGCGCCGCUUGCGUGCGAACCUGAAACCCCAAAACCACGUGGGAUGAGAACUAUAUAAAUAUAGUUCCCAGUGGGUACAGCCACCCAAGGGAAGAGCUCGACCCAUCAGGUCCAAAGGAGGCACUGUAACAUGUUAGUCCAACAGAUAAUCACAAAUAAUUUAUGCAGAUAAUAUUUACAUGUAUACCUCAAGAUAUGCAAUAUGCAGAUUAUGCGACUACAUAACAGUAGAUCUACAGAUUCUACUUUCUAUCUCGCUAUCCAUAGCUCAUAUCACACAAGCUUCUAAGGUUUCAUCUACCCUAAUCAAGCUAUCGACCCGACUCGGCCUCAAGUAAAUCAUCUAUGGAGUACCGUGUUAAGUCAGGUUUGAGGUGAAGGACGUCUCACAAGCACCUCAGCCUUAAGUCCACGCGACUAUAGGUCUAUCACAGGGAGAGGAGAACCGUCGAUCCCCGUGACCAUAAGUCGCUCAAGCUCAACGGGCGAGGAGGACCGUCAAACCCAUUCGAGCUCAUACCGGGCGAGGAGAACCGUCGAACCCGUUGAAUCACUACCGAGCGAGAAGAACCGUCAAACCUGUAGUUCUGAUUCACUUGUUUCAUGGCAUACCGGGCGAGGAGAACCGUCGAGCCCGUUGAAUCACUACCGGGCGAGGAGAACCGCCAAACUCGUAAUUCUAAUUCUAUUCUUGCCAACAGCACCAUUCCUAGGGAUUCCGAAACCCACUUUCACAACUUAAGGGUUUAACACUUAUCCUAUGUUGACGACCUUCCUAGGUCUAACUUAAUUUAUUUUUUAGUGGUCCUUCUACCACUACAACCAAUGACUUAGUUCAAAUACACUAAGUGUCACUAUACAUCAUAACCUAGGUUCAAUCACGCUAGGUUCUAUGUCAUUUCACCUAGAUCUCGACACCUAUGUUCAAUGACACUAGGUUCAUGUCCAACCUAUAUUUAAUAACACUAGGUUCAUGCCACUCGAUCUAUGUAUCAUCCUAGUUAUUCUUGCCUAGGAUCAUAGUUCACAUAUUCUCACUUUACACUUUAUAACCGGCGAAUUGUCUAAUCAACCUAGAGUUAUCGACCAAUACUCAAUUCAUGUGAAUCUAGCAUGUUCACAAUAUAUCAAUAUUCAUAUAUGCUCUAGCAUUAACCAUAAAGUAUUCAUAUGCAUAUUUCAACUGUAGGUAACAUUAGUUAAUAUAUCAUAAUUCAUGCAUUCACUUUAUCAUUCAUAACCUACCACUAUAUAUAUAUGCAUCAAUGAAAACCAUACAUUGCUUUGGCAUGGAAGCGACCUAAUCGCUUCGGUGAAGCACAACCCACCUAUAGUUGAUACCGGAAUGUGAGAAAUUCACUUCCCGUACUUUACGGACGACCGCAAUCCUUGCGCGCGACAACUUGAGCUAAAAUGAGGUUUUCCUCACUAGCUUGCCGUAGGCUCGUCGGAAUGUCGAUCCAAGCUUUCCAACGCAUUCGCCUUGCCCUCAAUUAGGUUUGUACGUGAUCAAUUCCAAGCGAGAAUCUCAAUCCUACAAAAGUGCAUUAUUGAGCUUAGGUUUCCAUUUAACCUAUUGUCAACCCUUUUAUACAGGUUCUACAAGAACCUAUAGAGUACUACAAACUCUAACAAUUUAAGGACUUCAACCAAUUACUCUAGGCAUACGAGAGACCAACUUCUAUUACCCCUCAAUCCUAAAGCUUUGCAUCCACCCAAAAGCUCACAGGUUACAUUCACAAUAUAUAGCUUUUCUAUAGGUUUCCAUCGCAAUCGAAGUUCCAAUACCCCAAUGACCUGCAACUAAGGGGUUGAAGAGAUUUACACCAACCCCCUAAUCAAAAUCCUGCAUAAAUCCUGCGUAAAAGUUGGUUGUUUACUCCUAGCUACAAAGGCCAAUACACAACACAUAGCUCACAAGUUAACUAUAUAACCUAUAAUUUACUAUAGGUCCAUCUAUAACUUUUAUAGGUUUAUCCAUGACCACUUCAAACUUUAGAAGCUAAUUGAUCCAUCAUUUAACUUCUCUACACAGCAACAAUGUCAUUCUCAAGUAGAUAGCAAAGUCAUUUCAUCUCAAACUUUAUCCCAAACAACUACUCAUAAUACAUAUAUAUACAUACAUGCAUAUAUAUAUAGUAUAGAGUUAAUUUUUAUAUAGGGUUUAAGGCCCUUAGAGGCUUAACAAUCAAAAUCUGUAGCAUACUCCUUUUUAGAAUGUCAAUAUAUAUUCUUUGACCCAGGAAACAUGCAUACUUCCCAUUAAUUCCAUCUUUGAUUUCUUCUCUAUCCAAUAGUUCACAUAUAUGUCUACAUAUACAUGUAUGUUCUCUCUUUGCAUAGUUUCUAGGUUUUUCUACAUCACAAUACCAGCCUUAAUGGAGCAACUAAUCAAAUUCCAGCUGAGAAUUAAAUUAAUUACCUCAGGCUCGAAGCUUCCAAGGCUGGGUUUCCACUUCGGCAGCUCCAACACGACCAAACCACCAAGCUGCCACUUCUCCAACAAAUUCCCUCGUCUACUUUGCUUCUAGGGUUGAGAGAGAAAGAGAGGGGGAUUUAGAUAAGAAAGAGGUUGUAGGAGAAGGUCCCUGGUACAUAGACAUGUUCAGGCGAACUGGGGUGAAGUAAUAAGGAUAAACAAUUGGACUUUAACCCCUCAAUUCAGCAAAAGUGCACUGCAGUCCUGCUGCAGAUUUCUCAGGCUGGUACCUCACUGAGGUACCCGAGGUACCUCACUGAGGUACCCAGUAUAAAAUUCGCACUUGCAGAUUUCUGACAGCAGCAGCAACAGCAGCCCAUUUCAACACUUCAAUCCACUUCGAGCACCUCUAAUCACUUCCACAAUAUACUAAUGAACCUCCACAAGUCACUAAUUUGGCUCGGAAGCAAUCUAAUUUUAUUUUGGCAUUAUUUUGAUCAAUUUGAUCACAAUUAGCCCGUAGUCGAAAAUUCGACAUAUUACACUCACCUUGAUUUAUUUAAUCAAGGUUAACUCUAUAAUCCGAAAACUCCUUUUACAUUUCGUUUCGCGCCCAAUUUGCGCCGAAACACUCAUUUAUCUCCGGAAUUCAUUCCCACGCAUCCAAAAUUACUCGGGAAUGAUGCACAUUUAAUCCAAACUUCUCUUUGAUCCUUUAGAUCAAAGUUAGCACUACAACUCAAGGUUUCCAUAUAUUACAAUCUCCCCCCGUUAAUCAAAGUUUCGUCCGCAAAACUUAGAUACAAAUCUCUCCUCAUUUCCUCUAGCGGAUGGAGCUAAGUUCCAACAAUCACCAACGAAUAGAAUCAUACCAUUCCAAAGUUUCUCAACUUCACUCCAUACUAUACUGAUUUUUCCAAAUCAGUCUCUACGAACACUUCGUUCGUGUCUCCAAUAUCAACUCAUCAUCAGUGCUCAAUUCAGCAACUCCCACUAGAUCAACAACAGGACCGAGCCUCACUCUUACGGUCCCUACUCACAAUCCAGUAGGAUAGGUCCAAUACACUCACUUUCAGUGUACAUGGGUAAACCGUCCGUCCCAACUACCACAAAUCGGCUCACCAAUCACCGAUCGGACAUAGGUCUAUUACCUAACUCAAUUGCGAUACCACACGACGUCUCUCGCUCGCAAGCGUAGACCCAAUUAUAAUGAGGCAAAGUUCUCAUUGGAAUCUCGCACACCUACUCCAACUAGGAGCAAUUCAAAUCUCUAAACCACGACAACGUUAGGGUUAUGUCAAACUUGCCUUUCCAACGCUACCAAUCACACGAUCCAAUACAUGACAUACCACGUUAUCGAUCCAAACUCGCACUACCGUCCUGACCAAAAUCUCAGCCCUAAACACACAAGUAUCGGCCCGUUGUCACACACAGCUAACUGCGCCUGCCUAAAUGGCUCCUGACUCAGCAGUUCACAAAUGGUCCAGGCACGGAUCAUCACCAAGCAAUAUCCGCAACCGUCGUCUCACACGACACGCUCUACCAAGCACACGUAUUACUAUCGGCUCCUAGGCACCUAGUGUGAGCCACCAGCCCUACGAGUAAUCCCUGGCAUGCUUCAUACUUAGCAACGUUGAAAUGCUACUGUCAACACACUCACUGCUGAAUCAAAUCCGCACCCUACGAGCACCUACACUCGAGCGCUCUACACGUCUCUAUCACGUGCCACACUAAGUCCAACAUGAGGCAAUCUUGCCUAUGCACACUGACUACACGAGCACGACCCACCUACCUCUAUUCGAGGUACUACAAGGCCCACGUGCAUAUACCUGACCACUAACCGAUCAUUUCCUUAACAGUGAUUCUAUUUUCACUGUUCGAUUUACCGGAACAACCUGCAAAAUGCUCGGUCUCACAAGAGUUCCACGAACAUCGCGACUGAACUCUCGCAAUCAGCAACCCGCAUUAGUUUUGAGAGUUGGUCAACCAUUACCAUUUCCAACACGAAUCUCACUUCUUAUCCAUAAACCAUCGCCAGCAAUUUGCUAGCGUCAUCUGGCUCUCUACCUGCUCCAGUAGGUACUACACUUCCACAACAUAAGCACGCCCGGGUAUCUACAUUUACCCGCCCCUUCGAUCUCUACUAUACUAAUGCACAAUUAGUAGUAACAAACUACAUAGUCAAUGCAUGUAGUGCACCAAUCCGUACAUCAUGCAGAAAUACAUGCUUGCUUUAAUUAACUCAUACCUGCCACAUUACAAGCAGUCGCAGCAGGUUUCUCAACAUGGGUCGCGUAGCCAUGGCCACUAGCCGCUCGUCGCGAAUCCCCGGUUGCCUUAUCCUCAUUCACUCUCCAGACCAUGCCGCAGGUGGCACAACCGCAGGUUGUCCCGAAGAGGAAAAAGCCGUCGCCAGUGUAAAGGCUCGGCUAUCACUUUGCGGAUACUCAUCACUUGGGUGAUCCGGUUGUCCACAUCGAGUGCAUUUUCCUUCCCGCUGCACGCAACAUCGUACCCAAUAGGAACCACCACAAAUCACACAUCCUGGUGAGGAUCGGGUAGAGGACGACUUCGAGUGGUGCCUAGAACUUGACUGUCCAUCCAAAUUACUCAGUAGUGGCCUCACUCCUCCUCGUCUACAUUCAUCAGAUUUGCGCUCCUCAAGCACGAAAGCAUUGCCUUGCUCUAUCCACAGAGCCCGAUCGAAGACUUCGGCAAAAGUCUGCAACUUAAAGUUAUGCACAACCUUGAAGAUAUUAGGCCGAAGUCCUCGCACAAAGCAAUCAGCUCGAUCUUUGUCAUCUCGCACCACGUUCGGGACACAAUUCACGAUACGGGUGAAAUCCCGUUCGUACUCCCUUACAGCGCUGUCUCCUUGUCGCAGUUUUCGGAACCUGUCCCGAAGCUUCCUCUUUUCACUAUCGGGGAAAUAAGUUGAACGCAUUAAUUCCCGAAACUCUUCCCAAGCCAUGGGAGGGAGACUAGGCGAUCGAUUCCGUUUAACGCCUUUCCACCACACCCUCGUCGACUGUUGCAGACAACGCACGGCUAGGUGUACCUUGUCCCGCUCCACAACGUACAAAUAAUCUCCAUGGAGUCGAUCCACGACUCCACAGUCCAUGGAUCUACAUCCUCUCUAUCAAAGGUAGGCGGAUCAAACUUCUGGAAGGUCAUGAGAGCCGCCAAAGCGCACUCCUUCUCCGCCUCUACCUCUUAACUAACAGUAGUCGGAUUGCCCGACCCCGACGGAAACGCCUCCGUCGCGACUCCCGGCCGUACUCGACGAGCCGCAACCGGUGCAGUCACCAGCUGAUCUACUGUCUCCUGCAGUCUCUUUAUUCGCUCUUCUUAGCGCAGAGCAGCCUCCUGCUGAUGCUGCACUACAUUCGCAUGUUGCCUCACCACUCCCACGAGUGUGGCCAACUGAUUGCGAAGCUCGAAGCCUCCGCUCGCCUCGGUUUGCUUAGGGACACCACUUGUCCCCUCCCGCGCCGAUCUGGACGAAGAUCGUCUACGCGGUGCCAUCGCCUCCUGAAAUACGAUAACUCAGUCAGUCCUCGACCAUCUGGGUCGAAUACGAAACAAGUAAUACUAACUCAAAUCUGGCGAAAGUCAUACAAGGGAGCCUAUUCUCAUCCCUCGGUUUCAUGUUGUCGUACGCCCAACAUGAACACACUUGGUCAAGAAUAAACCACACCUUCAAUCUACCUCUUACAUCCCUUUUAGAAGUUUACUAAACUUGACCCAAUUGAUUUAUCUUUCGCCACACGUCACAAGUCCUCGUAUCUCACGAGCGUAUGUCCUUAUGGUUUACUAUCCUAGGUCUCCUAGGUCCAACUAAACCGUUAUUACUCUCUUUAUGCUCUGAUACCAUUUGAUCUGCCACGCCCCGAGCUCCGCCUAUUUGGUCGAAUUCGGGCCGCUAACAGACCACCGAAUGGACAGAGCUUUCCCUGUACGUCCUAGGUGUCACAAUCCACACAACGCAAUACACGAUGUUCCAACCAGGAACAGUAUUGAAACACAGAUUGCAUAAGUAUCAAAAAUAUAAAAUGCUACUAUGCUAUUACAAGCAUCCAUCACAAAGAUUUUAUAUUUUACAAUAUUACAAAUACCUUUAAGUUAUUACAACUUAUACAAAUUACUACAAGUUUGUUUCUUUCAUUUAGUACUCUUAGCUAGACCACUUCAGGGUAUUGCUAUCUCGGUCUCAGUGUUAGGGCGCUAUCUACGGAGCUACGCCCUUUCCUCGCGCCGCCGCGCUGCUCGCGUGCGAACCUGAAACCCCAAAACCACGUGGGGUGAGAACUAUAUAAAUAUAGUUUCCAAUGAGUACGGCUACCCAAGGAAAAAGCUCGACCCACGAGGUACAAAGGAGGCACUGUAACAUGUUAGACCAACAGAUAAUCACAAAUAAUUUAUGUAGAUAAUAUUUACAUGUAUGCCUCAAUAUAUGCAAUAUGCAAAUUAUGCGAUUACAUAACAGUAGAUCUACAGAUUCUACUUUCUAUCUCGCUAUCCAUAGCUCAUAUCACACUAGCUUCUAAGGUUUCAUCUACCUUAAUCAAGCUAUCGACCCGACUAGACCUAGAGUCAAUCAUCCGCGAAGUACCUCGUUAAGUCAGGCUUGAGGUGAAGGACGUCUCACAAGCACCUCAGCCUUAAGUACACGCGACUAUAGGUCUAUCACAGGGAGAGGAGAACCAUCGAUCCCCGUGACCAUAAGUCGCUCAAGCUCAACGGGCGAGGAGAACCGUCAAACCCGUUCGAGCUCAUAACGGGCGAGGAGAACCGUCGAACCCGUUGAAUCACUACCGGGCGAGGAGAACCGUCGAACCCGUUGAAUCACUACCGGGCGAGGAGAACCGUCAAACCCGUAGUUCUGAUUCACUUGUUUCAUGGCAUACCGGGCAAGGAGAAACAUCGAGCCCGUUGAAUCACUACCGGGCGAGGAGAACCGUCAAACCCGUAAUUCUAAUUCUAUUCUUGCCAACAGCACCAUUUCUAGGGAUUCCGGAACCCACUUUCACAACUUAAGGGUUUAACACUUACCCUAUGUUGACGACCUUCCUAUGUCUAACUCAAUUUAUUUCCUAGUGGUCCUUCUACCACUAUAACCCAUGACUUAAUUCAAAUACACUAAGUGUCACUAUACAUCAUAACCUAGGUUCAAUCACGCUAGGUUCUAUGUCAUUUCAUCUAGAUCUCGGCACCUAUGUUCAAUGACACUAGGUUCAUGUCCAACCUAUGUUUAAUAACACUAGGUUCAUGCCACUCGAUCUAUGUAUCAUCCUAGUUAUCCUUGCCUUCAUCUUAGUUAUCCUUGCCUAGGAUCAUAGUUCACAUAUUCUCACUUUACACUUUAUAACCGGUGAAUUCUCUAUUCAACCUAGAGUUAUCAACCAAUACUCAAUUCAUGUGAAUUUAGCAUGUUCACAAUAUGUCAAUAUUCAUAUAUGCUCUAGCAUUAACCACAAUGUAUUCGUAUGCAUAUUUCAACGGUAGGUAACAUUAGCUAAUAUAUCAUAAUUGAUGCCUUCACUUUAUCAUUCAUAACCUACCACUAUACAUAUAUGCAUCAAUAAAAACCAUACAUUACUUUGGCAUGGAAGUGACCUAAUCGCUUCGGUGAAGCACAACCCACCUUUAGUUGAUACCGGAAUGUGAGAAAUUCACUUCCCGCACUUUACGGACGACCGCAAUCCUUGCGCGCGACAACUUGAGCUAAUAUGAGGUUUUCCUCACUAGCUUGCCGUAGGCUCAUCGGAAUGUCGAUCCAAGCUUUCCAACGCGUUCGCCUUGCCCUCAAUUAGGUUUGUACGCGAUCAAUUCCAAGCGAGAACCUCAAUCAUACAAAAGUGCAUUAUCGAUCUUAGGUUUCCAUUUAACCUAUUGUCAACCCUUUUAUACAGGUUCUACAAGAACCUAUAGAGUACUACAAACUCUAACAAUUUAAGGACUUCAACCAAUUACUGUAGGCAUACGAGAGACCAACUCCUGUUACCCCUCAAUCCUAAAGCUUCGCAUCCACCCAGAAGCUCACAGGUUACAUUCACAACAUAUAGCUUUUCUAUAGGUUUCCAUCGCAAUUGAAGUUCCAAUACCCCAAGGACCUGCAACUAAGGGGUUGAAGAGAUUUACACCAAUCCCCUAAUCAAAAUCCUGCAUAAAUCCUACGUAAACUUUGGUUGUUUACUCCUAGCUACCAAGGCCAAUACACAACACAUAGCUCACAAGUUAACUAUAUAUCCUAUAGUUUACUAUAGGUCCAUCUAUAGUUUUUAUAGGUUUAUCCAUGACUCACAAGUUAACUAUAUAACCUAAUCAAAUUCCAGCUGAGAAUUAAAUUAAUUACCUCAGGCUCGAAGAUUCCAAGGCUGGGUUUCCACUUCGGCAGCUCCAACACGACCAAAACACCAAGCUGCCACUCUCCAACAAAUUCCCUCCUCUACUUUACUUCUAUGGUUGAGAGAGAAAGAGAGGGGGAUUUAGAUAAAAUAGAGGUUGUAGGAGAAGGUCCCUCGUACGUAGACAUGUUCAGGUGAACUGGGGUGAAGUGAUAAGGAUAAACAAUUGCACUUUAACCCCUCAAUUCAGCAAAAGUGCACUGCAGUCCUGCUGCAGAUUUCUCAGGCUGGUACCUCACUGAGGUACCCGAGGUACCUCACUGAGGUACCCAGUAUAAAAUCCGCACUUGCAGAUUUCUGACAGCAGCAGCAACAGUAGCCCAUUUCAGCACUUCAAUCCACUUCGAGCACCUCUAAUCACUUCCACAAUAUACUAAUGAACCUCCACAAGUCACUAAUUUGGCUCAGAAGCAAUCUAAUUUCAUUUUGGCAUUAUUUUGAUCAAUUUGAUCACAAUUAGCCCGUAGUCGAAAAUUCGACAUAUUACACUCACCUUGAUUUAUUUAAUCAAGGUUAACUCUAUAAUCCGAAAACUCCUUUUACAUUUCGUUUCGCGCCCAAUUUGCGCCGAAACACUCAUUUAUCUCCGGAAUUCAUUCCCACGCAUCCAAAAUUACUCGGGAAUGAUGCACAUUUAAUCCAAACUUCUCUUUGAUCCUUUAGAUCAAAGUUAGCACUACAACUCAAGGUUUCCAUAUAUUACACUUCUGGUGCUGGAUUAAUCCACCAUGGGCCAAAUGUUUUGCAGUUCUACUAUCUAUAGUCUUACGACGGUCCAUUCAGCUUUUUGUUAGUAUCACUGAAAGCUUUGCUUUGUUCUAUGCAUGUCCUACUAGGAAUAUCCAUGCUAAAAGCAUUUUCCGUUGGUAUCCCUGUUUUUGUGUAUAAAUACUCUUGAUCGGGAAUGUUGGGAAUCCGGUACUCGCCCCGGUACCGGAUCUUGUGAAUCCGCAACCCGCUCCGAUACCGACUGCUGUGGAUUCGGUACCGAUUGUUGGGAUUCCGUAACGGAAGCGUCGAAUCGGGUUUUUACCAUAAACCCGUUUCCUCAGCAAAAGCUGAUACAAUCACAAAAGAGAAAAAAAACUAAGACAGAAAAUAUGCGGGUAAAAUAAGAUUCAUUAAAUAAAAGAAGAUUACACCUGACUCCUCUUCUGCAAUUGAGUAGUUACAACCCGAGUCCUCUUUUUGAAUCUCUCCUACCCUUCUCUCGUCUUCUAUACCACAAAGAAGACAAUCCUUCACAUACACCUGUACACUGGGUGCACUCAACUCUUGGCUAUUCUUUCUCACUCUCUCUUUUUCUCUCUGGUACGACACACCCAAAAGACUUUCCCUCUCUUGGCAGUACUACUCCCCUCAAUAGCCUCUAAUGCAUUAUAUAUAAUGCUCAACCAAAGAUGUACUCCUAAUAUAUUUAAGAUUCCGACUUUAAUUAAUAUCUAAAUCUAUCUUAAUUAAUCUCUAAUAGAUUUAAAUAUUAAUCCUAAUCUAGUUAGGUUUAUCCUUUAAUUAAUAUUUAAAUCUUAAUUUAUCUCCAACAGAUUUAAUAUUAAUUCUAAUCCAAUUAGGAUUCAACUACAAAUCUAACCAAAUCCUAACAAUCUCCACCUUGGUUGGAUUUGUAGUCUUCAACUGCCGCGUCGAGCUCACCAUACAAGCUCUAUCUUGAGCUUGUCUCCUCCGCUCGGUGUCGCCGCAUCCGUCGCUUCGCCUCGAGCGACUGCACCUCCGCGAAUUUUUGGAACCCAAACCGUCUUCGCUCCUGUUCUGACUGUGCUCCCGUUCAGAACAUACAAGUUCCCACGCUUGUUCGCCUCGCACAAGACCCGAUCUCAUUUUCGGACCCUCAUAGCUCCACCUGAAGCCAAAAUAUUGCAACCCUUCGAGUCCAACGCGCCUAACGAGAUCAAAUUUCGCCUUAAUCCAGGAACGUGUCGCACACCUGUCAGUGUCCUCACGACCCCAUCGUGCAUUCGGAUCUUCACCGUGCCGACUCCCAAAACUUUGCACGCCAUCCCAUUCCCUAUUAGAGCUUUUCCACCCUUGAUCGCUUUAUAGAUGGCAAAAGACUCCUUCUCCGGGCAUACAUGAAAGGAACACGCCGAAUCGAGCAUCCAUGCGUCAUCCGAAAUUUUCGCACCUCCGGUCGCUGCAUAUAGCAUGUCAGAAUUGAUCAUCUCCAUUUCUACCGCCUGCGCCAUCGCUGUUAUCGCCUCGUCCUGGUUCACGACAGUUUUCUCCUUCUGUUGCUUUAACUCCUUCAGAUCAUUCUGAAAUUCCCGACAGUUGCGCUUAAUACGCCCUUUCCUAUGACAGGAAAAGCACUCCACCGCGGAUAGCGGCUUCUUCUGUCGAUCUCCGAUCGCUGAUGUUGUCGCCUCCUUCUUCGCUCUCACCACCAAAGCUGUAAGGUACCGGACUUCUAAAAUCAUUAAGUUACGGUGUACAUUUGGUUAGAGAGCCAUUUGAAGGGUUCCGGUGAAGUUCGGUGGAAUGUAACAUACCGGAUUUUAAAUAUAAAAGUGAAAAUAAAUAAAAAUAGUGUGAGAUACUAUUUUAUUGGAUUUAGAGAAGUAAAAUAUAAGUCAGNUCUUUACAUCAUAACCUAGGUUCAUUUACACUAGGUUUUAUAUUCUUUCUCCUAGAUCUCAACUCUAGGUUUACUUACUUGACCUAUGUCCAAUGACACUAGGUUAAUGUCCGACCUAUGUUCAAUAACAUUAGGUUCAUUUCAUGUCCAACCUAUGUUUAAUAACACUAGGUUCAUGCCACUCGAUCUAUUCAUUAUCCUAGUUAUCCACGCCUAGGAUUAUAAUUUGCACAUUUUCAUUUACUUUGUUACCGUCCAGAUUUCUACUCAAUUGGAGUUGUCGAUUUAUACCCAAUUCUUAGGGAUUUAACAUGAGGUUCAUAGUUUACAUAUUCUCACUUAUCUUGUUACCAUCGAGAUUUCUAAUCAACUAGAAUUAUCGACAUUCAUAUAGCUUGAACUAUAGUACAUUCACUUUCAUAUAUGUUUAGACAUAGGCAUCAAACUUCCACUUUUAUGUGGAAACAAUUAUGUAGGCUUUAGCAUCUAUGUUCAUAAUUCAUAUUCAGUUUACAUGCCCUUGGCAUUUACAGGUUCAACAUUCAUAUAUCAUAUGUUUGCUCCUAUGAAUUUAGCAUAACCAUGCAUCUAGCUUUCACGUUCAUAUAUCGACAAUUAUAUGUAUCUAGCAUGAUCUACAAUAUAUUCAUAUGCCUCUAGCAUGUUCAUCAUCUGAUUACCAUUAUACAUCAUCUAGCAUUAACCAUAAUGCAUUCAUAUGUUAUUAAUCAUAUAUGCCUACUCAUAUGCAAUUAGCAUUAAUGUUCAUAUGUCGACAAUCAUAUUCAUAUAUGCGUCAAAUGAAACCAUAUUUUACUUUGGCAUGGAAGUGACCUAAUCACUUCGGUAAAGCACAACCCACCUUUACUUGAUACUGGAAUGCGAGAAAUCCGCUUCUCGCACUUUCCCGAGAACCGCGACCCGCGCUCCCGACAAUUGUAGCCGAGAAUGUUCUUUUGGCGAUAUCUUCACGUAGGCUCGACGGAUUG
rnacentral:lncRNA from 1 species